CAGACGAUAUCUUUCCCUGUUACUCUCCAUGCAUUAAUGUGUGCUGAAUGCUCUUUGUGCUUGCCUGCAUCUUGAGCUCUUACCAACCCACUUUUUUGUGGCUGUAAAUUGAACGCAGCUGUGGUUAUUAUGGAGCUGUUACAUUGAUCCAGUUUUAUAGUCAAUACGAUUCUGUACACUGCAAUUUGUUAAUGGAAAAUAUUUAUAUGAAGAGUUGAUGCGAGAACAAAACACUUUAUGAAAUGACAACCACAGUACUGUCACUGUAUUACAACCAUUAUGUACAUGGGAAAAUAUACAUUAUCAUACAGCCACUCAUUACCUUACUCUUAAAUUAGUAAUAUAUAUAAUACAGUUAAGAGUAUGUCUACUUGUUGGCUUUGAACACAAUAGUAGUUCAUAACCAAUAACCUGAGAACCCUGAGUAUUGCCUUCCUGUUCAGCAGACCCUGUUCCUGACCAAGUGACGGCACAGAGGGUGGAAAGCUGCAGACAUGUCCCACUUUCACCUCGGUGUCAGAGCACUCAGUCUGUCCUCCUAAGUGACUACAGAACAGUGGCAGUGAGAGUCAGUGGGGAAACAGUGGUUGUGUUCUGUACUAGAGACUAGGAGGGGUGUGGUGCGGCGUGGUGCGGUGCCGCGUGGCGGAA